GAUGAACGCUGGCGGCGUGCCUAAUACAUGCAAGUCGAGCGAACAGACGAGGAGCUUGCUCCUCUGACGUUAGCGGCGGACGGGUGAGUAACACGUGGAUAACCUACCUAUAAGACUGGGAUAACUUCGGGAAACCGGAGCUAAUACCGGAUAAUAUAUUGAACCGCAUGGUUCAAUAGUGAAAGACGGUUUUGCUGUCACUUAUAGAUGGAUCCGCGCCGCAUUAGCUAGUUGGUAAGGUAACGGCUUACCAAGGCAACGAUGCGUAGCCGACCUGAGAGGGUGAUCGGCCACACUGGAACUGAGACACGGUCCAGACUCCUACGGGAGGCAGCAGUAGGGAAUCUUCCGCAAUGGGCGAAAGCCUGACGGAGCAACGCCGCGUGAGUGAUGAAGGUCGUCGGAUCGGAAAACUCUGUUAUUAGGGAAGAACAAAUGUGUAAGUAACUAUGCACGUCUUGACGGGACCUAAUCAGAAAGCCACGGCUAACUACG
rnacentral:rRNA from 1 species